UAUCAUGUUCUCUCUCAUGCUCACUCUACACAUCCCCCCCCAUCUCUGUCUCUCUCUCACUAUCAUGUUCUCUCUCAUGCUCACUCUACACAUCCCCCCCCAUCUCUGUCUUCUCUCACUAUCAUGUUCUCUCUCUGCUCACUCUACACAUCCCCCCCGUCUCUGUCUCUCUCUCACUAUCAUGUUCUCUCUCAUGCUCACUCUACACAUCCCCCCCUACCCAGCCUUCCUGUGUCUACACACACAGGGAAGGGCCGGGGUCUGAGAAUCAACCCCUGCAACCACAAACUGGUGAAUACACACCUCUCAUAUAUUGCCUCCUUUCCACAGUAUUUUCAUACUUUAUAUUUUUCUUUAGUAAAUGAUUGUUCGGUGUCAGUGUGGUAAUCUGCCUGGCACAGUGUAAUUGAAAUGUUCGUUUUUAAUUUAUUUUAUAAUUUUUUCUUUGGUUGAUUUUGGAUCAGAUAUACUGAUGAACGCUAUGACUAUUCAGUGAUGUUUUCCACUGAACUAUAAAAAAAAAAAAAGAAAAUCCAACCCUCUGAUUACAGAUGUAACUAUCAAUGUCAAGGCUCAGAGUGAGAACAUCUGACCAACAGUGACACUGGUCUGGGACUGGACCACAGGGCAUUGAAUGCCUAAAAUUGUCUCAAGAUAAACAGUUAACAGCACCCACUGGUACCAGAUUCUUGUUCAGCGUCGAAAUACGUCAUUGUUGAUUUUUCAGAUAUUUCUUCCGUUGUUAUCCAUUCUUAUAUAUAAAUGCUAAUUUAGAUGGGAAAGAGCCAGGGGUCUGUUUUUUGAAUUAAAGUUUGCUUUUUGCCUACCAUAAUUCUGAUAAGCAAACUAUGAAUAAAUGUGUACCUGGAUUAUAAUAAUUUAUGCAAAAAUAAGUGUUUUCUGCCAAUAAGUGUUGUGUGAGAAAUUCAAUAGAGGAGGCCUUAUUGGUUCAAUAUGGAAUACUUUAUGACUGCAUGUAUGUAUGUAUAUACUUUAUUUACUGCCUGUAUGUAUAUACAAUAUACUGCCUGUUUUUAUGUAUAUAAAAUGCAUACACUUAUGUGUAUGUAUAUACAUUAUUAUUAUUACAUUCAUGGGAAAGCACCAAACAGACAGAGGUCACACAGUGCCUGGGUAAUGGUGGUGGUCAAGUUUGAGUCAGGAAAAAGAAAGUCUAAACUUAUUGCAUUAAGAUCCUCCACUGGCAACAAGGUACCUCCUUCCCAGCAGGGAGGUACCUUGAUACUGGUGUGUGGCAUUUGAUUUGUGGAAUUGAACUUGGCCUCCCCUUCCCUUAGAUCAAAACUGAUUGUCUCCCAUUUCUCAAGUGCUGUAUGACCCUUAGGGGUUUAGCACUUUCCACUAAUAUAAUAAUAAGUCACUGACUUUGAAAAAUAUUUAUAUGCAAUAUUCAGUUUUGUUUAGACAAACCCUUGAAGGGUAUGUAUACACAGUAUUCACUAGUGUAUAUACAUACCCUUGAAGGGCAUGUAUUUACAAUAAGUAUUGUAUUUUCUGGCAUAUAUGGCACAAACAUAAGACUCACCCUAAUUUUGGCAAGCAUGUCCUGGGAAAAGUUAAAUAUUGCAGUACUUGGUAGGUGUAGUGAGUAGAAGGUGGGCAGGAGGUGGAUGCUGGGUAGGCAUCACCACUGACACCAGGUGCCAUCACCACUGACACCAGGUGCCAUCACCACUGACACCAGGUGCCAUCACCACUGACACCAGGUGCCAUCACCACUGACACCAGGUGCCAUCACCACUGACACCAGGUGCCAUCACCACUGACACCAGGUGCCAUCACCACUGGUGUCAACAAAUAUGGCAACACCAACUGACAUAAUCAGAGGGGGGUAAGGGGUAGGGGGUAAGGGGUAUAAGUAAACAUCAAGACAUUCAAGAUCAGAUUUUUACUUAGAAUAUUUAGUACAAACAUUCUGUAACUUUGAGAGUUUUCGUUGAAUUUGUAAAACAUGAGGAAAUAAAAGAAAAUAUUUUAUGCCAUGCGUGUCGAAAGAGGCGACUAAAAUACCAGGAACAAGGAGCUAUUAAACCCUUCUCCUGUAUGAAUUACUAAAUGUAAAAAGAAAAACUUAAUUUUUCUUUUUAGUUCACCUUGCCUCAGCUGGAGAUGGCUGUUUUGUUAAAAAAAAAAAAAUAUUCAUCCUGAAAGUAAACAUAAUGAAGCCAUUUUUAUUCCUCUGUUCCACUGCCACAAACCACCAAAACAAAUAUGGCUUCUUGUUUGUUUAGAGACAAUACCUGUAAUUAUUUUUUUUUUAACAAUGGCUGUCUCCCACUGAGGAAGGGUGAUCGAAAAAGAAGAAACAGUCUUUUUUUUUUUUUAGUAAUUUUUACAGGAGAAGGGGUUACUUGCCCCUUGUUCCUAGCACUUUAAUUGUCUCUUACAACAUGCAUGACUUAUGGAGGAAGGAUUCUUCCUCCACUUCCCCACAAAUCACCAAGAAUAUGUAAAUUAUAAUUGAUAAUAGUUACUAAUCACUCUGAUAAACAGUUGUGCAGAGUGUUGUUUAUAGUUCAGUUUACCGGUGCGACAGCGCUGGAACCCUCGCCUGCCAGUAACUUAAGUCUACCCUCUUCCUGACCUUCAACAUAUAAGGCACAGGAGGAUCUUCUGAGCCUUUUUUAUGGGGGAAAAAAGGCAUGCCUUAUAUGCCGGAAAAUAUGGUCAGCUCUCCUAUAAAUUACUGUAUAUAGCGCAGUUCUUUGCAAAUGCAAUUGUAAAAUUGUAAAAUUGUAAAAUUGCAACCAAUGUUGAACUGAACAUACUAUGAAGGCCUCUUCACAUACCAUUCUAUUGUGACUUUACUCUUUUAAACACAUUUACAAAACACUGCACUAUUAUAUAAGAGGAACUUUAUAAGAGAGCUGACUAUAUACAUUAUUGGCUGCUUCAAAGUAACUGUGUGAGUGUAUAAUCAGUGUGAACAAAACUCGUAUAAUCUUUAAUGUGACCAAGCCUUGUAUAAUCAGUGUGAACAAGCCUUGUAUAAUCAGUGUGAACAAGCCUUGUAUAAUCAGUGUGAACAAGCCUUGUACAAUAUAGUGAUACCAGUGUAAAAUCGUGUAAUAUUCUUCAGAUAAAUAUUCUUGUUCAUCUUCCAGCUCUCCUCAUGUAAUCUACUUUAUAUAUUUUAUUAACAUUUUAAAAUUUCAGUUUUUCAAAUGUUCUUAAUUAAUGUCUCUGUAGUACUGUGUGGUCAUCUUAUUUUUUCAGAUAAGCAAAGAUGUAAAAAUAAGAAUGUAAAAUAAGCAUCUUAUUUUUUCUGACAAGCAAAGAGUUGAAAGGAAAAAUGUAAAUUGAGUUGGUUCUUUGUUAAAUAUCAAUUUAACAAACUUUGGAAAUAUUGGACAAAAUCCCCUGGGUGAAUUGAAUCAAAAAUAAUAUAGAAACUCCAUUGGUUACAGAAUUGUCCGUUAUAGUUAUGAUCAUGGAAGAAUAAUCUGAUCGCUACCACAGUUGCCACUACCAGCCGCUCACUUCUCUCUGUUAGCCCAUUAAAUAAAAAAAAAUUCUUCAUUGGCUGUCUAGCUAAAGCAAGGUGAUCAAUCUAUCUUUCCAGAGGGGUUCUGUGUAUUGUUAUUUUAUGAGGGAGGGGUGAUUAAACCCAUAACAGUUAUGCAGUGCCUGGGGAAUAGGCACUCAGGUUCGAUCCAAGAAAGGGGAGGUCAGGCUCAAUUUCUUUGAAUACAAGGUGCUCACCAUCAUCAAAGAACCUCUCUCUUAAGGGAAUAGGCAAUACUUAGAAUCGGAUCCUGUUGUUAUAUUCAUGGUUAUUAUUCUGUAUUGGUUAUGCAGAGUCUGGAUCAAGAUCCCUUGCAUCAAGGUCUUUCUCCCCAUCCUGCCUCUCUUUGAAAGGCUUUAAUCCCAUGUUUGUUGAAUUUAAGGAAAUAACGUAUUUAUAAAGAUUAUUUGCGGCUUAAUAAAUAUAAAUGCAUAAGUUCUUGAUGACUGUGGUAGUGUACAUAAUAAAAGAUAGAGUGAAUGAAGAAUAAAAACUCACAAUACCAUGGCAGGAACAAUUCACCAAAAACCAGCGCUUAGAAGAAAAACCUUACCAUGAUGUUUCAGUCCAUCCUGAACCAUUGUCAGGACAGUGAUGCAGGACACACUGUACCAUUGUCAGGACAGUGAUGCAGGACACACUGUACCAUUGUCAAGACAGUGAUGCAGGACACAC